rnacentral:rRNA from 1 species
UGAGCAACCUGCCCUUGACCCUGGAAUAACAGCUGGAAACAGCUGCUAAUACCGGAUAUGACCUCCGAUGGCAUCAUCUGGAGGUGGAAAGCUCCGACGGUCAAGGAUGGGCUCGCGGCCUAUCAGCUUGUUGGUGAGGUAACGGCUCACCAAGGCUCCGACGGGUAGCCGGCCUGAGAGGGCGACCGGCCACACUGGGACUGAGAUACGGCCCGGACUCCGUAGGGAGG